GUGCGGUCUGCUUUGGUGACCCCACUGAAGUCGAACGUGGUGAUACGGGACAGGGUGCACAGCACAUAUUGCCUGUGGGGAAGACUUAGGCUGGGGGCCAGCACCCCCACCAGAAUCCCCUUCCCCCUCCACUAGUUGCUGUUGUCUUCCCUGACUGCAAGGAAUGGAGGGACUUGAGCAUAGUUUGGGAAAGAUUAGGUUUAUCCUGACUGAGAGCAAGGAAUGCUUAGAGGUCUGUUACUCCCUUCCCAGGUCCAAGCAUGGCAGAAGAAUGGUCGUAGAUUUCUUGUUUCUCCUCCUCCUUUCCUUUAGGGGAGCCCAGCUAGACGCUACCUCCAGGGGCAGGGCACUUACCUAUACCCUUUCUCUUCCUCCAUGGGGUUCCCAUGGAGUGUCAGGCUACGGAGCCGAGGAAGGACAGCCAGCUUAUUCACCUCCCCCAGGCGCUGGAUGCUGUUGCCGUGAAGAUAGAGGAC
rnacentral:lncRNA from 1 species